rnacentral:rRNA from 1 species
GCAGUCGAACGAAGACCCUUGUACUCGUACGAGGAAUUCUUAGUGGCGAACGGGUGAGUAUCGCGUUGGUGACCUGCCCCGAAGUGGGGGACAACAGUCCGAAAGGACUGCUAAUACCCCAUGUGGCCGUGAUAAUUAGAAAGUCACGACUAAAGGAGUAAUCCGCUUCGGGAGGGGCCUGCGUCCCAUCAGCUAGUUGGUAAGGUAAUGGCUUACCAAGGCUACGACGGGUAGGGGACCUGAGAGGGUGGCCCCCCACACUGGUACUGAAACACGGACCAGACACCUACGGGUGGCAGCAGUAGGGAAUAUUGCACAAUGGGCGAAAGCCUGAUGCAGCAACACCGCGUGUGUGAUGAAGGCCUUCGGGUCGUAAAGCACUUUUAUGAGGGAAGAGGAAGGACGGUACCUCAUGAAUAAGGAUCGGCUAACUACGUGCCAGCAGCCGCGGUAACACGUAGGAUCCAAGCGUUAUCCGGAUUUACUGGGCGUGAAGCGCGUGUAGGCGGCUUAGUAAGUUGGAUGUGAAAGCUCCCGGCCCAACCGGGAGACGUCGUUCAAUACUGCUAAGCUUGAGGACGAUAGAGGAAGGUGGAAUUCCGGGUGUAGUGGUGAAAUGCGUAGAUAUCCGGAGGAACACCAGUGGCG